GUAAAUGUGAGCAUGGCAUACAAAAUAC
rnacentral:sRNA from 1 species